rnacentral:rRNA from 1 species
AGUGAACGCUGGCGGUAGGCCUAACACAUGCAAGUCGAACGGCAGCACAGUAAGAGCUUGCUCUUACGGGUGGCGAGUGGCGGACGGGUGAGGAAUACAUCGGAAUCUACUUUUUCGUGGGGGAUAACGUAGGGAAACUUACGCUAAUACCGCAUACGACCUACGGGUGAAAGCAGGGGAUCUUCGGACCUUGCGCGAUUGAAUGAGCCGAUGUCGGAUUAGCUAGUUGGCGGGGUAAAGGCCCACCAAGGCGACGAUCCGUAGCUGGUCGGAGAGGAUGGUAGCCGGCAUUGGAGCUGGACCACCGUCAAUGCUACUGAGGGAGGCAGCAGUGGGCAACAGUGGGCAGUAGUCGGGAGCAUGAUCCAGUCAGCGCGCGUGUGAUGCAGCGACCUUGGGUGCGUAAAGACGUUUUGUUGGGUAAGAACAGCAGUCGGCUAUUACGAAGCGGUAGUGACGGUACCGAGUAAAGAAGCACCGGCUAACUACGUG